GUACAAAUUAAAAAUUGCAAUAACGAAAGGCGAUUUGCAAAUAAAAACAGUGAUCGCAAAAGUAUGCUGCUUAUAAAUUUUCGAUACCUUAUGACAAAGGAAGUGACAUACACAAUAAAAUAAGGUACUUUUGUGGGAAAUCUUAAGCCUAGUAAUGUAAAAGGAUUUGGUGCUUUUUAAAUUCAAUUGUUUUGCAGUGCUGUUUUUGUAUGUUAUGAAAGGUAUUUUCAAAUAUAUUUAUGCAAUUGUCAAUUUCAUCAUUAACAAGAUUUCUGUUUGCAGGUGGUUAAAUGGAUUCUAAUGCAGAAUCAAACUGUCGACGAAACAUACUCCAAUCCGUGGACUUAUAAGAAAUAACCACUCUGGGAGUUUUGAGGAUAAUACCACCUGUAUUGAACGAGAUAUCCAAUUUAAGGGGGUAAUGGUCAGAAAAUGGGGGAAUACUGGUUAUUCUGUAGUUGCCUGCAUCAGUAUUUAUUAGAUUUGGGCUGACCAGAAAGUGAUCCAAAUAAGAUGGUCCAUUAGGAUAUGAAGGAGAAGAGUCACAUAUUCGAGUAACGUCUGUGGCAUUAUCAAGCAACCAAUUGUAAAGUGUCCUUCCAUUGGUGUUGUCCAUUAUAUCACCCCAUGUCGUGUGCCUAGAAUUAAGAUCUCCUCCAAAAAUAAAUCCAUCAUAAUUAUUAGUAAACUGCAGACAAUUAUUUAGACCAUUGAUUAAUUGUUGUGUGUUGAAAUUGGUUGAGAUAUACAGUGAACCUAGUAAAAAUGUCUGCAUUGAAUUGUUCCUUUUUGUCUCAAUCUCAAUAAAGACUGCAUUAAAAUUUAUAUUCUCAACUGUCGUUCGCUUGUAAUUGAUGUCGUCUUUUAA